UGAGGAAUAUUGGUCAAUGGGCGAGAGCCUGAACCAGCCAAGUAGCGUGCAGGAUGCCGGCCCUAUGGGUUGUAAACUGCUUUUAUGUGGGGAUAAAGUGCGUGACGUGUCAUGCAUUGCAGGUACCACAUGAAUAAGGACCGGCUAAUUCCGUGCCAGCAGCCGCGGUAAUACGGAAGGUCCGGGCGUUAUCCGGAUUUAUUGGGUUUAAAGGGAGCGUAGGCUGUCUAUUAAGCGUGUUGUGAAAUUUACCGGCUCAACCGGUGGCUUGCAGCGCGAACUGGUCGACUUGAGUAUGCAGGAAGUAGGCGGAAUUCAUGGUGUAGCGGUGAAAUGCUUAGAUAUCAUGACGAACUCCGAUUGCGCAGGCAGCUUACUGUAGCAUAACUGACGCUGAUGCUCGAAAGUGCGGGUAUCAAACAGG
rnacentral:rRNA from 1 species